rnacentral:rRNA from 1 species
AGCUCCAAUAGCGUAUAUUAAAGUUGUUGCAGUUAAAAAGCUCGUAGUUGGAUUUCUGUUUAAGUUGGCCGGUCACUCUAUGAGUCGCACCAGGUCGACUUGGACAUUUUCGCGUGGAAGCUACUCCACUUCAUUGUGUGGUAGUUGACGCGCGACCUUUACUUUGAGAAAAUUAGAGUGUUUCAAGCAGGCCUACGCCUUGAAUACUGCAGCAUGGAAUAAUAUGAUAAGACUUCGGUUUUAUUUUGUUGGUUUCUAAAACUGAGGUAAUGAUUAAUAGGGACAGUUGGGGGCAUUCGUAUUUAACUGUCAGAGGUGAAAUUCUUGGAUUUGUUAAAGACGAACUACUGCGAAAGCAUUUGCCAAGGAUGUUUUCA